rnacentral:rRNA from 1 species
UACGUAGGGGGCAAGCGUUGUCCGGAUUUAUUGGGCGUAAAGAGCGUGUAGGCGGCCAUACAGGUCCGUUGUGAAAACUCGAGGCUUAACCUCGAGACGUCGAUGGAAACCGUAUGGCUAGAGUCCGGAAGAGGAGAGUGGAAUUCCUGGUGUAGCGGUGAAAUGCGCAGAUAUCAGGAAGAACACCAAUGGCGAAAGCAGCUCUCUGGGACGGUACUGACGCUGAGACGCGAAAGCGUGGGGAGCGAACAGG